rnacentral:rRNA from 1 species
UGUACCCGCGGCAAGACGGAAAGACCCCGUGAACCUUUACUAUAGCUUGACACUGAACAUUGAGCCUUGAUGUGUAGGAUAGGUGGGAGGCUUUGAAGUGUGGACGCCAGUCUGCAUGGAGCCGACCUUGAAAUACCACCCUUUAAUGUUUGAUGUUCUAACGUGGGCCCCUUACCGGGGUUGCGGACAGUGUCUGGUGGGUAGUUUGACUGGGGCGGUCUCCUCCUAAAGAGUAACGGAGGAGCACGAAGGUUGGCUAAUCCUGGUCGGACAUCAGGAGGUUAGUGCAAUGGCAUAAGCCAGCUUGACUGCGAGCGUGACGGCGCGAGCAGGUGCGAAAGCAGGUCAUAGUGAUCCGGUGGUUCUGAAUGGAAGGGCCAUCGCUCAACGGAUAAAAGGUACUCCGGGGAUAACAGGCUGAUACCGCCCAAGAGUUCAUAUCGACGGCGGUGUUUGGCACCUCGAUGUCGGCUCAUCACAUCCUGGGGCUGAAGUAGGUCCCAAGGGUAUGGCUGUUCGCCAUUUAAAGUGGUACGCGAGCUGGGUUUAGAACGUCGUGAGACAGUUCGGUCCCUAUCUGCCGUGGGCGCUGGAGAACUGAGGGGGGCUGCUCCUAGUACGAGAGGUCCGGAGUGGACGCAUCACUGGUGUUCGGGUUGUCAUGCCAAUGGCACUGCCCGGUAGCUAAAUGCGGAAGAGAUAAGUGCUGAAAGCAUCUAAGCACGAAACUUGCCCCGAGAUGAGUUCUCCCUGACUCCUUGAGAGUCCUGAAGGAACGUUGAAGACGACGACGUUGAUAGGCCGGGUGUGUAAGCGCAGCGAUGCGUUGAGCUAACCGGUACUAAUGAACCGUGAGGCUUAACCUUACAACGCCGAAG